UCGGAAUUACUGGGCGUAAAGCGUGCGCAGGCGGCGCCGCAAGUCAGGCGUGAAAUCCCCGAGCUUAACUUGGGAAUGGCGCUUGAAACUACGGUGCUGGAGUGUGGCAGAGGGAGGUGGAAUUCCACGUGUAGCGGUGAAGUGCGUAGAUAUGCGGAGGAACACCGAUGGCGAAGGCAAUCCCCUGGGCCUGCACUGACGCUCAUGCACGAAAGCGUGGGGAGCAAACAGG
rnacentral:rRNA from 1 species